rnacentral:rRNA from 1 species
AUUGAACGCUGGCGGCAGGCCUAACACAUGCAAGUCGAGCGAGCGGCGGACGGGUGAGUAAUGUCUGGGAAACUGCCUGAUGGAGGGGGAUAACUACUGGAAACGGUAGCUAAUACCGCAUACCAUCAGAUGUUCCCAGAUGGGAUUAGCUAGUAGGUGGGGUAACAGCUCACGUAGGCGACGAUCCCGAGCUGGUCUGAGAGGAUGACCAGCCACACGGGAACUGAGACACGGUCCAGACUCCUACGGGAGGAAGCAGGGGGGAAUAUUGCACAAUGGGUGGAAGCCUGAUGCAGCUAUGCCGCGUGUAUGAAGAAGGCCUUAGGGUUGUAAAGUACUUUCAGCGGGGAGGCGUUACCCGCAGAAGAAGCACCGGCUAACUCCGUGCCAGCAGCCGCGGUAAUUC